rnacentral:rRNA from 1 species
AGUGAACGCUGGCGGUAGGCCUAACACAUGCAAGUCGAACGGCAGCACAGUAAGAGCUUGCUCUUACGGGUGGCGAGUGGCGGACGGGUGAGGAAUACAUCGGAAUCUACUUUUUCGGGGGGGAUAACGUAGGGAAACUUACGCUAAUAUCGCAUACGACCUACGGGUGAAAGCAGGGGAUCUUCGGACCUUGCGCGAUGAAUGAGCCGAUGUCGGAUUAGCUAGUUGGCGGGGUAAAGGCCCACCAAGGCGACGAUCCGUAGCUGGUCUGAGAGGAUGAUCAGCCACACUGGAACUGAGACACGGUCCAGACUCCUACGGGAGGCAGCAGUGGGGAAUAUUGGACAAUGGGCGCAAGCCUGAUCCAGCCAUACCGCGUGGGUGAAGAAGGCCUUCGGGUUGUAAAGCCCUUUUGUUGGGAAAGAAAAGCAGCAGGUUAAUACCCCGCUGUUCUGACGGUACCCAAAGAAUAGCACCGGCUAACUUCGUG